rnacentral:rRNA from 1 species
AACGAACGCUGGCGGCAUGCCUAACACAUGCAAGUCGAACGAGACCUUCGGGUCUAGUGGCGCACGGGUGCGUAACCCGUGGGAACCUGCCCUUAGGUUCGGAAUAACUCCCCGAAAGGGGUGCUAAUACCGGAUAAUGUCUUCGGCCCAAAGAUUUAUCGCCGUUGGAUGGUCCCGCGUUGGAUUAGCUAGUUGGUAGGGUAAAAGCUGACCAAGGCGACGAUCCAUAGCUGGUCUGAGAGGAUGCUCAGCCACUCUGGGACUGAGACACGGCCCAGACUCCUACGGGAGGCAGCAGUGGGGAAUAGUGGACAAUGGGCGAAAGCCUGAUCCAGCAAGGCCGCGUGAGUGAUGAAGGCCUUAGGGUUGUAAAGCUCUUUUACCCGGGAUGAUAAUGACAGUACCGGGAGAAUAAGCUCCGGCUAACUCCGUG